rnacentral:rRNA from 1 species
CCUACGGGGGCUGCAGUGGGGAAUAUUGGACAAUGGGCGAAAGCCUGAUCCAGCCAUGCCGCGUGUGUGAAGAAGGCCUUCGGGUUGUAAAGCACUUUCAGUGGGGAAGAAAGCCUUGGGGCUAAUACCCUCGAGGAAGGACAUCACCCACAGAAGAAGCACCGGCUAACUCCGUGCCAGCAGCCGCGGUAAUACGGAGGGUGCGAGCGUUAAUCGGAAUUACUGGGCGUAAAGCGCGCGUAGGCGGUCUGAUAAGCCGGUUGUGAAAGCCCCGGGCUCAACCUGGGAACGGCAUCCGGAACUGUCAGGAUAGAGUGCAGGAGAGGAAGGUAGAAUUCCCGGUGUAGCGGUGAAAUGCGUAGAGAUCAGGAGGAAUACCAGUGGCGAAGGCGGCCUUCUGGACUGACACUGACGCUGAGGUGCGAAAGCGUGGGUAGCAAACAGGAUUAGAUACCCCAGUAGUC